rnacentral:rRNA from 1 species
AACGAACGCUGGCGGCAUGCCUAACACAUGCAAGUCGAACGAGACCUUCGGGUCUAGUGGCGCACGGGUGCGUAACGCGUGGGAACCUGCCCUUAGGUUCGGAAUAACUCCCCGAAAGGGGUGCUAAUACCGGAUAAUGUCUUCGGACCAAAGAUUUAUCGCCUUUGGAUGGGCCCGCGUUGGAUUAGCUGGUUGUGAGGGUAAAAGCCUACCAAGGCGACGAUCCAUAGCUGGUCUGAGAGGAUGAUCAGCCACACUGGGACUAAGACACGGCCCGGACUCCUACGGGAUGCAGCAGUGGGGAAUAUUGGACAAUGGGCGAAAGGCUGAUGCAGCAAUGCCGCGUGAGUGAUGAAGGCCUUAGGGUUGUAAAGCGCUUUUAACCGGGAAGAUAAUGACGGUACCGGGAGAAUAAGCGCCGGCUAACUCCGUG